rnacentral:rRNA from 1 species
GACGAACGCUGGCGGCGUGCCUAAUACAUGCCAGUAGAACGCUGAAGGAGGAGCUUGCUUCUCCGGAUGAGUUGCGAACGGGUGAGUAACGCGUAGGUAACCUGCCUGGUAGCGGGGGAUAACUAUUGGAAACGAUAGCUAAUACCGCAUAAGAGUAGAUGUUGCAUGACAUUUGCUUAAAAGGUGCAAUUGCAUCACUACCAGAUGGACCUGCGUUGUAUUAGCUAGUUGGUGGGGUAACGGCUUACCAAGGCGACGAUACAUAGCCGACCUGAGAGGGUGAUCGGCCACACUGGGACUGAGACACGGCCCAGACUCCUACGGGAGGCAGCAGUAGGGAAUCUUCGGCAAUGGACGGAAGUCUGACCGAGCAACGCCGCGUGAGUGAAGAAGGGUUUCGGAUCGUAAAGCUCUGUUGUAAGAGAAGAACGAGUGUGAGAGUGGAAAGUUCACACUGUGACGGUAUCUUACCAGAAAGGGACGGCUAACUACGUG